ACUUAGGCCGAUUAACAGGC
rnacentral:snRNA from 1 species